CCGGGCAGCGCCAGGAGCCCGGGACGGCGGGGCGGGCGGCUGGCACAUAGUGGGGCCCCGCGCCACCCGGGAAGAGGGCGGGCGAUGGGCACACAGCGGACGCGUGUGCUCAGGGGUGGGCUGAACCGCGGGAAAGGGGCCUGCACCUCCGGCCGCGCCUCCCGCCGCCCACCUGCCCCAACCGCCUGGCAGACGCCCGGCUGCCCUUCAUGCACCCAAGGCGAAAGAGUCGGAAAGCAGCUAUCCUUGCCCAGCGUCCCUUAUACAGGGAAGAAAAUGAGGUUCAGAGGGACCAAAUGCCCUAACAAGUUGAUGAAUCCGAUUCAAACCGAGGUCUCCCACCGACUUGGGCCAAGAGGCCCCCGCUGGGUGCCCCCCGCCCCGCCCCCCCGCGGGCUGCCCCGUCACCUCCAUGGUUCCCGCAGAAAGCGCUGCGCUUUGCCCCGUCUGGCCGCGGGCCCGCUGGCUCCCGCCGCUGCGCCCGGCUUCCCGCCUUCCGGCCCACCCCGCAGGAAAUGGGUCCGCGGCCUUUCCGCCAGGCCCUAGGGGCCGCCCGCGAUGGGCUCAAGGCCCUGGCCCUGGCGGGGGGCGCGAUGGCACGCGCAGGGGCUGCUGAGGCACUCACCCAUUCCUCGGGUGCUGCGAGCCCCGACAUGGCCACUCAGGUGGCCUUCUUUGAGAAGCCUUUAAUCCAGCAGCAGAGACCUGCCAGUGGGGCAGCCGGAGGAGGGCUCCUGUUGACUGACGACGGAUCCCCCUCCCUGCCCCACCGAGGCCCACAGGGGACCAACAGGAGGGGCCUCGACGUUCCUGGCUUGGAUCCUGGGAGCAGAGGAACUAUAAAGAAAGCUGGAGCUAUGACCCAGACUUUCGUGUCCUUCCCCUGCUCCCAAUAAAAGCAGUCUGCCAAUCCCCUGCCCUCCCAGCCCACCCCUCA